GAGACACCCUUCUGGGGCAAAACUUGCUUCAGUGGGGCUUUGGUGCUCACUGAGUCUGCCCCCUGAGUGUGUCCCU
rfam:Myotis brandtii contig312916, whole genome shotgun sequence.